AAUCAACGCUGGCGGCGUGCCUAACACAUGCAAGUCGAACGCGAGAGGGGCUUCGGCCCUGAUUGAGUGGCAAACGGGUGAGUAACGCGUGGGUGACCUACCUUCGAGUGGGGGAUAACGUUCCGAAAGGGACGCUAAUACCGCAUAACAUCCUGUCUUUGGACAGAUGGAGAUCAAAGCCGGGAUCGUAAGACCUGGCGCUUGAGGAGGGCCCGCGUCCGAUUAGCUAGUGGUGGGAAUGGCUCACCAAGGCAACGAUCGGUAGCCGGCCUGAGAGGGCGGACGGCCACACUGGGACUGAGACACGGCCCAGACUCCUACGGGAGGCAGCAGUGGGGAAUUUUGGG
rnacentral:rRNA from 1 species